rnacentral:misc_RNA from 1 species
GUGCGAUAAGUAGUGUGAAUUGCAGAAUUCCGUGAAUCAUCGAAUCUUUGAACGCAAAUUGCACUCUCUGGUAUUCCGGAGAGUAUGCCUGUUUGAGGGUCGGUUUAAAUAAUUAAUCGGUAUGUCGCCUUACUACGCGGCGUGUCGGAGUUGGGUCUUUCUUAGCCUUUUUUACGCGCUAAGUGACCUAAAAUUUAUAUUCUAACGUACUUCGGUAUGAUUACGUACUUAGUAAUUUUUGUCGUUUGAAUAUCGAAGGUAACCUAUUAGACGUGGCCAUCUUGAUGGUGUUUCGCGCCUAUAACUUUUCGAAUUUCGACCUCAAAUCAGGUAAGAGUACCCGCUGAACUUAA